AUACGGAGGGGACUAGCGUUGUUGGGAAUUACUGGGCGUAAAGAGUACGUAGGCGGUCUAUCAAGUUGGGUGUGAAAGCCCGGGGCUCAACCCCGGAACUGCACUCAAAACUGAUAAACUAGAGAUCGGAAGAGGUAAGUGGAAUUCCCAGUGUAGAGGUGAAAUUCGUAGAUAUUGGGAAGAACACCAGUGGCGAAGGCGGCUUACUGGUCCGAGACUGACGCUGAGGUACGAAAGCGUGGGGAGCAAACAGGAUUAGAAACCCCGGUAGUCC
rnacentral:rRNA from 1 species